rnacentral:rRNA from 1 species
GACGAACCGUGCGACCGUUGUUCGGAAUCACUGGGCUUAAAGGGCGCGUAGGCGGGCUGCCAAGUCUGGGGUGAAAUCCCACGGCUCAACCGUGGAACUGCCUCGGAUACUGGCGGUCUCGAGGGAGGUAGGGGCAUGCGGAACUGUGGGUGGAGCGGUGAAAUGCGUUGAUAUCCACAGGAACUCCGGUGGCGAAAGCGGCGUGCUGGACCUCCUCUGACGCUGAGGCGCGAAAGCUAGGGGAGCAAACGGG